UUUCCGUAGGUGAACCUGCGGAAGGAUCAUUAGAGAGCGGCACUCGUGCCGGAUCCUCUCCCACCCUUGUGUAUCUAUCUCUGUUGCCUUGGCGGGACCUCCUCCGGGGGCCGAACGCGCGGGGGAUAACGCUCGCGGCCCGUCAAAGGUCUUACAUGAAACACUGCCGUCGAGUCUAUCCGAGUCGUGGUUAUAAAAAGCAAAACUUUCAACAACGGAUCUCUUGGUUCUGGCGUCGAUGAAGAACGCAGC
rnacentral:misc_RNA from 1 species